UAAGGGAGGAGGGAAAGAAAAGUAUAAGGGAGCUUUGAAGAAAUAGUGACAGACCUGCCUCAGCUUUUUUCCUUCAGAAAGCCUCUUCCAAGUAAUUUAAUUCUUCCACUACCAUCCUUUUGUCCUGAGUUCCUCCAGCUCCUAGGUUCUUAGCUGGCCCAGAGUCAUGAUGUCUGUCCUGAGUUGUUUUUGUUCGCUGCUUUUAUAACUGAACUGACCUCACCGGCUGCAUGAUGAAAACUUCUAGAAUUCUAGGAAUAUGCCUUCCGUUCAUGUCUGUGGUUUAAUAGUGCUCAGUAUUUUGCUCAGCACAGGAGGCUCAAUUAAGUAAAAGUAUUAAAUUGAUUCAUUUGUUAAUUGAAAGAAUGGCAUUGUCCAUCUUGAACCCCAAAGGUGUUCUGGAAAGAAAAAAAACAAACCACUAAAGCAAAUGCAACAGUAGAACUGUUUUUCUCAAGGCAGAACCUUUUCAGUUUGACUUGGCUGUGAAAUACUCAGAGCUCAGACCGAGGGGGACUUUUUCUAGUAAGUUAAUUACUGAUUUAGUGGGACUAAGUUUUUGAUAUUUAUUAGCAGCAAUUUUGGUAACAUGACAUAAAUUCAUGACAUCUAUAUUUAGAAAGAAACCAUAAUAUGGUAAUAAUACUGCUCUAUAAUUACUUCAUUAUUUAUUUCUCUAUCCCCCCACAUUAUUGUUUAAAGUACUUGAAAAGGUUAAGAAGACCAAAUACUAUAUACUGGUUAAAAAUUGUUGUGAAAAAAGAAGGUAACACAAGAUUAGCCGCAUAAAAUAAAGUCAAAAUUAAGACUAAGUAAACAAUGGACCCUUUAAGGACUUUAUAUACUUGCAAAAAACUUAGCUCUAAGCUUCCUGGCAACCAACCUGAAAAUGAUUAACCUGAUCAGGUAUGUAAUACACCAUAUUUCAAAGACAGAAAGUAAUUCAGUUUGGUCAGGAGAACUAUAAUGAUUCCUAACACAAACCCCAGGCAGAGAACUUCUGUUGAAGAUGUUGAUUGGGUUCCAUUGGUAAAAUGCCCCUAAUUCAUGACUACAUCCUUAAGUGUGAAUCAGGGUAGAUUUCAUGAGGUGUGUUUACAGUGCCCUUCCAUGCAAAGGGUGUGAACAUCAAGUGCUGUUCAGUAGAAGCAGUGCCACUGGUACCUAUACAAUGAGUUCCAUGAAUAUAAUUUCCCCAGGUCUGGCUACAUUCAGGAAGAAAUUUGAGGUAUCUGCUCAAAUGGAAGGACUGCUCUAUCAAUUAAGUUGGGCUCGUUGGUGCUGUGAUAACAAAUAAUCAGAAAAUCUUAGUGGCCUAAAACUCCAAUGUUUAUUUCUUGUCCAUGCUCUAUAUUCAUCGCAGGCUGACAAAGGGUUCUCGUUAUUGCAGUCAUUCAGAAACCCAGGUGACUAGAGGUUCCAUGCUUUCAUGGCCACAGAAACUGGGGAAAAGAGCACACGGACUCUCAAACCUUCUGCCCGGAGCGCUUCUCAAGUCUGUUGAAGUUUUCCUGGCAAAAGCAAGCCAACCGUCGAGCCAGGCCAGUCUUCCAUAGGAUGGGCACAUACAGUCUUUCCAUGGGGAGGUGCAUGGGAUAUCGUGAACAACAGUGCAACUUACGGCAACUGUGCAGCCUUAACAAGAACUCUAAAGAAUGAUUUUCUGAGUGACAUUUUCUAAGAUUUGGGUGUGACAAACCCCUCUAAAUUGCAUUAUUUCCUACUGACUCCUUGAAAUGCAAUGUUCUCUGCUGGUAGUUAAAAUGAGAACUGUCUGCUUUCAGGGACAGACCAGCUGGGGGAAGGAUUGAUGUUUUACCAUGAAAAUGCACUAUCAAGAUGCACUCAAAAUGCACUGAGCAGCCUAUCAAGACCUCAUGCCAGACCAUGCUCUAUAACUUAAUACUUUUUAUUAUUUUGACAACAUACUCCUCAAUUUUCUCCCUUCUCUAGUUACAACACAUUGUUAACUAAACACAUAUACAAUCACAUACAGAUAUAAUCAUGGUGUCUUUUAUGACUCACCUUUACCAUUCUUUUCUGACUCCUCCCAUCAAAAACAUUCAGUGACUCCCAGUGGCACUGCAAGCAUAUUUGACACCUUGACUAGAUUAUUUUUAUAACAUCUCCCCCGCCCUCCACUAUGAUUAAAUUAUAUUCAUGUAGUAAUUGAUAACCAACAUAAUUUAAAAAUCUUUUUUAAAAACAACAAAUAAAAAGAAUGGUGGUAACUUUAAAGCUUACUCAAGUUCCCGGACUGUUUUAUGUGUGAACUAAAAUGUAUACUUUUCAAAUAAAAAUACUACACUUGCACUUUGCACUUAAACAAACAUAGGAACUCCACUGAUCUCAUAGAAUGAGAGAAGUGAAGCAACUCAAGUUCUGAUGCUUUGGCUUAAAUCACAGCCAUGUCUGCCCAAGGCCAGCUCAAGGAUUCCCAGUUUGCUCUUGGAUGCACAUAGCUAAGUGUGGGUGUGUUGGGGCCAACUGCAUAACUGGGAGUUGGCUGGAUUAACUUCCAUUGGAACACAAUGUUUAGUAAAGGAUAUGUAAUAAAAAUGUGAUAAUUCAAACCUUAUAAUGUGUUAUUAAAAGUCAACACUAAUCGCUGCAAUUGUUUAAGAGAAAGAUUUACAAAAGAUUUUUUUUCAAAGUAUUUGAUCACUUCAUUAUUUAGAAUUGUAGGCACAAGGUGAAGAUUUGAAUCAGAGUGACUCAGUUUUAUUAUUGCUUUAAAAUUCUCUGUAUACAGUGUACCUUCUUACUGCCUGUAGCUGGGACUACUGCUAACACCUCUAUGUGGUCAGCCACAGGUAACUUCCCUUGUUGACAUAACCGAGUACAGAAUGGACACUCUCACAAAGCUCUUUGUCUUGUGGCCUCCGCUUCUUUCUAGCCCACUCCACAAUCCCCCUCUUGUGAAAAUACUUCGUUUUCUCUAAAAUAAUGGAAAUAUUCUACUCCCCGGACCCUCUUCUUUCUAAAAAACAUACUUCUAUGUAUUCAUAUUCCUCCUUCUGACAAUUUAAAUGUAAAGAGCAAAGACAUUAGAGCCAGGAUUUUCUGGGUUUGAUUUUUCUCUCUGCAGCUUGUAAAUUGUGUGACCUUGGGCAGCUUAUUGAACAUAGCUGGGCCUUAGCCCCCACACCUGGAAAAAUAGGGGUACAAGCCUCAGUUAUAGGUACCACCAUGAGAACAUAAAACAUAUGUGAGGUCAUCUGUCACAAUAAUUAUCUUUUCGAUCUUCCUUACCAAAUUCUGCAUAUCCAACCCAUUCAGAGCUUUGUUCAAAAUAAAUCCUCAUAGAAGUUGAACAACUGGAUGGAGCUGAUUGAACUUGAUGGUAUAUGAGCUACAGAGGUACAUGGUGGAGGCUCAGGUUUCAGACCUUUCUGUGACUGCUUCAGCUGUGAGCUCAGCAUCAUCAUGAGAAGAAAAUCUAGGAUAUUUCUCAUUUGGCUUCUGCUCCCCGCCUUCAGCUGUCAAAACAAGGAGGCAGCAGAAGCAUAGCCGGGAUGGGAACUGCCCGGGAAUCUGGAUGAGGGUUCCUUUUCACCUUCAGGAUUGUCUUCGCAUGUUGAGCAGCUCAGAGCUCUUUAUCCUGCGGGACCAGGCUGCCUGUCCUCCACAGUCCCUGGCUGGAGACGCACGCUGAAACCACUGCAGGCAUUUGGCUGCUUCACGCAGCCCAGGAGGGAGCACUGUGGGUCAUCCCAAGAGCCGAACCCACGCGCCAGCAAGCAAUCACCACUGCAAAACCAAACAAACGGAAGGGAUGUGCCUCGGUGGAGGCCCCUGCCAACAAGACUUGUUCCUCUGCCACCAGGGAUGCUCCGGCAGAAGCCUCCAUCCCUCAUUAAAUCAAUAAAAUCAAGUGCCCUUUAUUUUAAGCCUCUGCACUAUAAUCCAGUGGCAAGGAGAGGGGCCCAGGCAUUUCAUCCCAUUGUUUCAAAACAGAUCGUUUGGUUGGCAUUGACAAAAGGUUCAUUCCUUUACCUUUGUGGAAAUGUCAGUAAAAAAGGCAGGUGCUGGGCAUUCGGACUCUUUUGCUCAGUAGAAGGAAAAAUGGAGAGAGAGUGUAUGUGUGUGUAUGGGGAGGGGGAUCUGUGGCAGGCUAACUACAUGCGCCGAAGCUUUCUAAGACAUUUUGUUUAGCUUGAUAUUGUGCGGCGGUGAAGAGAGAGGUGGAAUCUAUUGUGUGCCAGCUGCAUGAAUCACCGGAUUGAAGUCUAACAGCCUCAGAUCCUCUUUUAUACAGUAGAGGGGAGAUUAAAGCAGGGAGCUCACAUGUCACAAAAUAGAGGCACAAUGCAGUUCUGGCUUGCUUAGUGCACUCAGCCAGCAUUUGAUCCAAAUUUAGCCAAAGGGAAGGAACAAGCGUGUGCUGCCAUCAGCCAGGGAGGUGACAAAUGUGGGGCUGUAAUAUCCAGAAUUCCUUUUCUGUUUCCAAAAUGUCAUCUCUCCUUUGUCAGCUUCAUUAUGAUGGAAUCUAUGUAUAGUCACAGAGCAAAUGGAAACAAACAAAAACACCCAAACCCCAGCUAAACCGUUCGACACCUGCCUCUUCCGAAGCUGUGUGAUUGAUACAGAGUUUUCUAUUCAGGACUUACAGCUGAAUGUAUUUCACAGGCAUUGGCUGAAUGUUACAGUGUGUUCUAGAGACUGGAAAGGAUACCCAAGGAAUCUCACACGUAUCUUUCCAUUCUCCAAGAGCUUGCAGUCUGGUUAAGGAGAUAAGAUAGGCAGACGGACAAACGCACUUACUCUGAGGAACAAAGGCAACGGAACGUUUUGUUUAUUGACUAAAUGUGGAGACAAAAAUAAGAAGUGCUGUAGGAAUUCGGAAAAAGUAAAUUCUGAGCUCAAAUUUUU